AGAAUCAACGCUGGCGGCGUGCCUCAGACAUGCAAGUCGAACGAUUAAACUUUCCUUCGGGAAAGAUAUAAAGUGGCGCACGGGUGAGUAACACGUAAGUAAUCUACCUUUGAGUGGGGAAUAACCCGGGGAAACCCGAGCUAAUACCGCAUAAUGCAGCGGCACCGCAAGGUGACAGUUGUAAAGGGGCAAUCCGCUUAAAGAGGAGCUUGCGGCAGAUUAGCUAGUUGGUAAGGUAUGGCUUACCAAGGCUACGAUCUGUAACCGGUCUAAGAGGACGGUCGGUCACACUGACACUGAAUAACGGGUCAGACUCCUAACGGGAGGCAGCGAGGUCGGGUAAUUUGGGACAAGUGGGACGUAAGCCU
rnacentral:rRNA from 1 species